rnacentral:rRNA from 1 species
CCUACGGGCGGCAGCAGUCGAGAAUCAUUCACAAUGGGGGAAACCCUGAUGGUGCGACGCCGCGUGGGGGAAUGAAGGUCUUCGGAUUGUAAACCCCUGUCAUGUGGGAGCAAAUUAAAAAGAUAGUACCACAAGAGGAAGAGACGGCUAACUCUGUGCCAGCAGCCGCGGUAAUACAGAGGUCUCAAGCGUUGUUCGGAAUCACUGGGCGUAAAGCGUGCGUAGGCUGUUUCGUAAGUCGGGUGUGAAAGGCGCGGGCUCAAGCCGCGGACGGCACAUGAUACUGCGAGACUAGAGUAAGGGAGGGGGAAGCGGAAUUCUCGGUGUAGCAGUGAAAUGCGUAGAUAUCGAGAGGAACACUCGUGGCGAAGGCGGGUUCCUGGACAUUAACUGACGCUGAGGCACGAAGGCCAGGGGAGCGAAAGGGAUUAGAUACCCUAGUAGUC